rnacentral:tRNA from 1 species
UGCAGGCUAGUUGGGACUGAGCUGACUUUCAUAAGGUCGGCAACCCGGUUCGAUUCCGGGGCUUGCAAC